rnacentral:rRNA from 1 species
GUUAUAUGGUCAAGUGAAGAAGCGCAUACGGUGGAUGCCUUGGCAGUCAGAGGCGAUGAAAGACGUGGUAGCCUGCGAAAAGCUUCGGGGAGUCGGCAAACAGACUUUGAUCCGGAGAUCUCUGAAUGGGGGAACCCACCUAGGAUAACCUAGGUAUCUUGUACUGAAUCCAUAGGUGCAAGAGGCGAACCAGGGGAACUGAAACAUCUAAGUACCCUGAGGAAAAGAAAUCAACCGAGAUUCCCUUAGUAGUGGCGAGCGAACGGGGAUUAGCCCUUAAGCUUCAUUGAUUUUAGCGGAACGCUCUGGAAAGUGCGGCCAUAGUGGGUGAUAGCCCCGUACGCGAAAGGAUCUUUGAAGUGAAAUCGAGUAGGACGGAGCACGAGAAACUUUGUCUGAACAUGGGGGGACCAUCCUCCAAGGCUAAAUACUACUGACUGACCGAUAGUGAACCAGUACCGUGAGGGAAAGGCGAAAAGAACCCCGGAGAGGGGAGUGAAAUAGAACCUGAAACCGUAUGCGUACAAGCAGUGGGAGCCUACUUGUUAGGUGACUGCGUACCUUUUGUAUAAUGGGUCAGCGACUUAUAUUCAGUGGCAAGCUUAACCGUAUAGGGUAGGCGUAGCGAAAGCGAGUCUUAAUAGGGCGUUUAGUCGCUGGGUAUAGACCCGAAACCGGGCGAUCUAUCCAUGAGCAGGUUGAAGGUUAGGUAACACUGACUGGAGGACCGAACCCACUCCCGUUGAAAAGGUAGGGGAUGACUUGUGGAUCGGAGUGAAAGGCUAAUCAAGCUCGGAGAUAGCUGGUUCUCCUCGAAAGCUAUUUAGGUAGCGCCUCAUGUAUCACUCUGGGGGGUAGAGCACUGUUUCGGCUAGGGGGUCAUCCCGACUUACCAAACCGAUGCAAACUCCGAAUACCCAGAAGUGCCGAGCAUGGGAGACACACGGCGGGUGCUAACGUCCGUCGUGAAAAGGGAAACAACCCAGACCGCCAGCUAAGGUCCCAAAGUUGUGGUUAAGUGGUAAACGAUGUGGGAAGGCUUAGACAGCUAGGAGGUUGGCUUAGAAGCAGCCACCCUUUAAAGAAAGCGUAAUAGCUCACUAGUCGAGUCGGCCUGCGCGGAAGAUGUAACGGGGCUCAAACCACACACCGAAGCUGCGGGUGUCACGUAAGUGACGCGGUAGAGGAGCGUUCUGUAAGCCUGUGAAGGUGAGUUGAGAAGCUUGCUGGAGGUAUCAGAAGUGCGAAUGCUGACAUGAGUAACGACAAUGGGUGUGAAAAACACCCACGCCGAAAGACCAAGGGUUCCUGCGCAACGUUAAUCGACGCAGGGUUAGUCGGUUCCUAAGGCGAGGCUGAAAAGCGUAGUCGAUGGGAAACAGGUUAAUAUUCCUGUACUUCUGGUUACUGCGAUGGAGGGACGGAGAAGGCUAGGCCAGCUUGGCGUUGGUUGUCCAAGUUUAAGGUGGUAGGCUGAAAUCUUAGGUAAAUCCGGGGUUUCAAGGCCGAGAGCUGAUGACGAGUCGUCUUUUAGAUGACGAAGUGGUUGAUGCCAUGCUUCCAAGAAAAGCUUCUAAGCUUCAGGUAACCAGGAACCGUACCCCAAACCGACACAGGUGGUCGGGUAGAGAAUACCAAGGCGCUUGAGAGAACUCGGGUGAAGGAACUAGGCAAAAUGGCACCGUAACUUCGGGAGAAGGUGCGCCGGCUAGGGUGAAGGAUUUACUCCGUAAGCUCUGGCUGGUCGAAGAUACCAGGCCGCUGCGACUGUUUAUUAAAAACACAGCACUCUGCAAACACGAAAGUGGACGUAUAGGGUGUGACGCCUGCCCGGUGCCGGAAGGUUAAUUGAUGGGGUUAGCGCAAGCGAAGCUCUUGAUCGAAGCCCCGGUAAACGGCGGCCGUAACUAUAACGGUCCUAAGGUAGCGAAAUUCCUUGUCGGGUAAGUUCCGACCUGCACGAAUGGCGUAACGAUGGCGGCGCUGUCUCCACCCGAGACUCAGUGAAAUUGAAAUCGCUGUGAAGAUGCAGUGUAUCCGCGGCUAGACGGAAAGACCCCGUGAACCUUUACUGUAGCUUUGCACUGGACUUUGAGCCUGCUUGUGUAGGAUAGGUGGGAGGCUUUGAAGCGUGGACGCCAGUUCGCGUGGAGCCAUCCUUGAAAUACCACCCUGGCAUGCUUGAGGUUCUAACUCUGGUCCGUAAUCCGGAUCGAGGACAGUGUAUGGUGGGCAGUUUGACUGGGGCGGUCUCCUCCUAAAGAGUAACGGAGGAGUACGAAGGUGCGCUCAGACCGGUCGGAAAUCGGUCGCAGAGUAUAAAGGCAAAAGCGCGCUUGACUGCGAGACAGACACGUCGAGCAGGUACGAAAGUAGGUCUUAGUGAUCCGGUGGUUCUGUAUGGAAGGGCCAUCGCUCAACGGAUAAAAGGUACUCCGGGGAUAACAGGCUGAUACCGCCCAAGAGUUCAUAUCGACGGCGGUGUUUGGCACCUCGAUGUCGGCUCAUCACAUCCUGGGGCUGAAGCCGGUCCCAAGGGUAUGGCUGUUCGCCAUUUAAAGUGGUACGCGAGCUGGGUUUAGAACGUCGUGAGACAGUUCGGUCCCUAUCUGCCGUGGACGUUUGAGAUUUGAGAGGGGCUGCUCCUAGUACGAGAGGACCGGAGUGGACGAACCUCUGGUGUUCCGGUUGUCACGCCAGUGGCAUUGCCGGGUAGCUAUGUUCGGAAAAGAUAACCGCUGAAAGCAUCUAAGCGGGAAACUUGCCUCAAGAUGAGAUCUCACUGGGAACUUGACUCCCCUGAAGGGCCGUCGAAGACUACGACGUUGAUAGGCUGGGUGUGUAAGCGUUGUGAGGCGUUGAGCUAACCAGUACUAAUUGCCCGUGAGGCUUGACCAUAUAACACCCAAACA